UACGAGGGGGGCAAAUGUUGUUCGGAAUCACUGGGCGUAAAGGGCGCGUAGGCGGGUUUUUAAGUCAGGUGUUUAAUCCCGGGGCCCAACCCCGGACCGGCACUUGAAACUGGGAAUCUUGAAUAGUGGAGAGGUCAGUGGAAUUGGGGGUGUAGCGGUGGAAUGCGUAGAGAUCCCCAAGAACACCAGUUGCGAAGGCGGCUGACUGGACACAUAUUGACGCUGAGGCUCGAAAGCAUGGGGAGCAAACAGG
rnacentral:rRNA from 1 species